CAGCACUUGAUACUAACCGAGCCAUCUAUAUCUUAGUCUUGUGUCAAAGGCUUGUGAUGUGUUGUGAUAGCUGGAUUUAAGAAGCGCAAUAUUAAAAGCCAUGAGCCUUUUAAGUCCAGUGUGUAAAGAUACACUCUGAGUUAUAACUCAAAGGCACAACA
rnacentral:snoRNA from 1 species